GAAAGAGAGAGAGGGAGACACACACACAGAGAGAGAGAGAGACAGGCUGGUUAUUUCUUUGGGGGGGAAGCAAAAAAAGGGAGCCUUCGACGCUGCGGAUAUGAACUGAAAAAACAAGCCAGGGAUCGUGUUCCUCAAAAUCAACCCCCCCACCCGAACAAAAUUUAGUGCAAAGGUGGGAAACUAGCCCCCCACCCUUCUUGAAAACCCCCUCCUGUCGUCCUCCACAGUUGUGUUCAGAUAGAGCUACACCCAAAGCUACACCCGGCCGACCCCCUCCUGCUCUGCUGCUCCACCCCUCCGCCGCUGCACCGCUCCGGCAACCGAGAUGCACACGGAGACCCGUAACAAGAAACCCUGCGUUAUCCUGCACCACAGUUUGAAAGCUGCCGUUUUGUCACCAACUCCAUUCAACUACUGAAAGUGAGCUCAGAACGUCUAACACAACAGAACUACAGAAAAGAACCGAGAAGAAAAUCCUUCAAACAGCC
rnacentral:lncRNA from 1 species